rnacentral:rRNA from 1 species
AUUGAACGCUGGCGGCAGGCCUAACACAUGCAAGUCGAGCGGAUGAAGGGAGCUUGCUCCUGGAUUCAGCGGCGGACGGGUGAGUAAUGCCUAGGAAUCUGCCUGGUAGUGGGGGAUAACGUCCGGAAACGGGCGCUAAUAUCGCAUACGUCCUGAGGGAGAAAGUGGGGGAUCUUCGGACCUCACGCUAUCAGAUGAGCCUAGGUCGGAUUAGCUAGUUGGUGGGGUAAAGGCCUACCAAGGCGACGAUCCGUAACUGGUCUGAGAGGAUGAUCAGUCACACUGGAACUGAGACACGGUCCAGACUCCUACGGGAGGCAGCAGUGGGGAAUAUUGGACAAUGGGCGAAAGCCUGAUCCAGCCAUGCCGCGUGUGUGAAGAAGGUCUUCGGAUUGUAAAGCACUUUAAGUUGGGAGGAAGGGCAGUAAGUUAAUACCUUGCUGUUUUGACGUUACCAGCAGAAUAAGCACCGGCUAACUUCGUG